rnacentral:rRNA from 1 species
CGGGUAGCCCGCCCUGAGAGGGUGACCCGGCCACCCUGGGACUGAGACCCGGCCCAGAUUCCUACGGGAGGCAGCAGUGGGGAAUAUUGCACAAUGGGCGCAAGCCUGAUGCAGCGACGCCGCGUGAGGGAUGACGGCCUUCGGGUUGUAAACCUCUUUCAGUAGGGAAGAAGCGAAAGUGACGGUACCUGCAGAAGAAGCGCCGGCUAACUACGUGCCAGCAGCCGCGGUAAUACGUAGGGCGCAAGCGUUAUCCGGAAUUAUUGGGCGUAAAGAGCUCGUAGGCGGUUUGUCGCGUCUGCCGUGAAAGUCCGGGGCUCAACUCCGGAUCUGCGGUGGGUACGGGCAGACUAGAGUGAUGUAGGGGAGACUGGAAUUCCUGGUGUAGCGGUGAAAUGCGCAGAUAUCAGGAGGAACACCGAUGGCGAAGGCAGGUCUCUGGGCAUUAACUGACGCUGAGGAGCGAAAGCAUGGGGAGCGAACAGGAUUAGAUACCCUGGUAGUCCAUGCCGUAAACGUUGGGCACUAGGUGUGGGGGACAUUCCACGUUUUCCGCGCCGUAGCUAACGCAUUAAGUGCCCCGCCUGGGGAGUACGGCCGCAAGGCUAAAACUCAAAGGAAUUGACGGGGGCCCGCACAAGCGGCGGAGCAUGCGGAUUAAUUCGAUGCAACGCGAAGAACCUUACCAAGGCUUGACAUGGACCAGACCGGACUGGAGACAGUUCUUCCCCUUUGGGGUUGGUUCACAGGUGGUGCAUGGUUGUCGUCAGCUCGUGUCGUGAGAUGUUGGGUUAAGUCCCGCAACGAGCGCAACCCUCGUUCUAUGUUGCCAGCACGUGAUGGUGGGGACUCAUAGGAGACUGCCGGGGUCAACUCGGAGGAAGGUGGGGACGACGUCAAAUCAUCAUGCCCCUUAUGUCUUGGGCUUCACGCAUGCUACAAUGGCCGGUACAAAGGGUUGCGAUACUGUGAGGUGGAGCUAAUCCCAAAAAGCCGGUCUCAGUUCGGAUUGGGGUCUGCAACUCGACCCCAUGAAGUCGGAGUCGCUAGUAAUCGCAGAUCAGCAACGCUGCGGUGAAUACGUUCCCGGGCU